AAUACAAAUACUAAAAGCUCAGUGGGAAGAUUUAAAUAUAUUUACUUAUCAUCAACUAGAGCGACGGGAUAACUAAUAAGUAUUUGGAUAAAUUAAUUCAUAAUUUAACCACUGUUUAAGGUUUACGUUAAAUUUACUUCUUAUCAUAUUGCUAUUUUUGUUACUCUAAAGAUCGUUUGUUCAUUGUUGU
rnacentral:sRNA from 1 species